UUGUCAAUAUCUUCUUUUUGCUUGUUAUGACAGGAUCUGAGCUCAAUAAAAGUAAAUUGAAAAUAUCCUCAUUGGAUUUUUUAGGGCUACAUUUUCGGGAAUAGUGUUCUCUAUAUCUUUUAAAAUCCUUGUUUAGCGCUUCUUGAGCCUCUUCGGUUAAUUGGCCAAUGGGUAGUAAAGCAUGGGCUAAUAUUUCGGGCCCAUGAAUGAGGAAUUUGUGGACUGUGGGGGGCAUGUGAUACCAGGGGUACUUCUGCGCAAAAAGUCUUGCAGUAUCAUGUGCGAAUUCUCGGAACUUGUCGACAUUUAUUUGUUGACCACUAGAAACUACUGUUAAUAUUGUAUGUAUGAGCCUGAUCAAGUUGAUAUCAAUAUUUGUAAUUUCGGCAGAGAGCUCAGGGUUUUUGAAAAAGCGUCUAGCGGUAUUCCCGUCAUUCGAGUUGCCAAAACCGGGUUUAGGUCUAUCAAUGAUUAAAUCGGUUUUUUCUCUAAACAGCUUUUGAAUCCUUGUUGUCGUUACUUUGACAUCGAUCAUUGCUAAAGUAAGCCUAUGAGCGACUGAAAUUGAUUUGCCCCCGAGAGAUAAAUCAGUGCUGCUUAGUGUAUCUAUAUCUUUAUCCACUCUACUUUUUUCAGCUAAAGACACUUGCGUUGAUUCCUUAAUGAAUUCAAUUGUCACAGGUCUACAGUAUCGUGUGGAUGAUGGACAAGGAUUCUGCCAGAUCACUAAUAGGUUCUUACUAUCUAGAGCGCAUAUAAGACGAAGAGGAACAAGUGAUGUUAUAAAAACAGCUGAAUCGUUCGAUGCAGAUCCAUGAAACGCCUGCUUAUAAGAACUAUGACCUGAGCUUCCAUCGAAACCCCAAUUCGUAAUUAAACAAAGCUUUUUUAGUUGUUCGUCAUUGAGUAAAUUGAUAUUACCUUGUAUAGUCAUCAAUAGGCGUUCUGCAGUGUGGUUGAGCAAAGCUUGUAACUGAACUUCUGCUGAUACCUCAGUUACUUUUAUGUGCUCCUGAUUUAGAUAGCAUUUUUUCUUUUCUGCUUGCACAACUUUAUAAGAAGGAAAUUUUUUGGGGUCACACCUUCUAACUAAGCAAUACUGGUGUCUUGACAACUUGGCGUCCACCAAUAAAGCUAGAGCAUUUUCACCUGAUAUUAGACGACAUUUACUUUCUUCCAUCUUCAUGAACGCCUUUCUAUAUAUACUUGCCCGUUUUGGAGAAAUUGACAUGUCCUGCAUUAAUUUUGAGGCCUGUGUUCGUCCCGCUGCCCUGUUCUAAAAUCCUGACAUGCUCCGCCCCAUUUUGUUCGACAAAUGCGUGAAUAUAUUUCACAAAACUUCUGGAUUCCUCCUGCAUUGGUUAUUGUUGAGUCGAACUUGCUGACGUUGCGCCGAUCAUCCUAUUGGCUUUUUCAGAGCUUAACUGAAACUGACUCGCAUUCUAUUCUGUACCUGCUUAUAUACUGCAUAAACGCCGUCUCGUUGCGGUUAUGAUUGUUAGGUUGCUUAUAGAUUUCUAUAGACUCUAGGAUUUUUCGUUAGUAGAAUUGAUUACAUGCAAGAAUUUUAGUUUUCUUGAAUAAAAUUUUAUGUCCGGUUUCGUGAUUAUGUUCGGCAACUGCGGAGUUCAUUUGUCUUAGUCGUAAGGCUCUUUCAUGCUCUUUCAACUUAGUAGAUAUUUUUUGACCGGUCUUUACAAUGUAUUUUUGACUUCAUAUGCAUGGAAUGCUGUAACCUCCUGGCAUCUCAAAUGGAAUUUUCUCUAUGACGAAUCGAUGAUGUUGAAAGAUUUUUGGACAAGUGGUAAAUCGGUUGGAAGUUAUAUUUCUUUAGAACUUUUGAUAUAUGGUCAGUGAUGUUUUGAAUGUAAGGAAGGACAACAGUGGCAAGCCGAAAGCAAUCGGCCUCAUUGCUAUUGGUUGGUUGUGGUGAAGUGUAUUUUGUGAUGAACGCUUAAUAUCUUUAAUGUGGAAAUUAUUAGAAAGAACAGCAGAGGUAAGGUGUUUUAAUUCUAGGUUCAGUGACUCGGACUCAGAUAGUUUUAAGGCUUUGUAAACAAGAGAGUUGAUAACCGGUGAUUUUUGGGCCGGAUGACGCAUUAAGGUAUUGGUCUGUGUGCGUAGACUUUCUGUAAACACAAUGACCUAAUGUUAGGUCUGAUUGGGAGGUUAUUAUUAGUUUCUAUUUCAAUGGUAAAUCGUAUGUUAGGUUGUAUAGAGAUCAAAUGUCUAAGAAAAUCUACUAUGGAUGCUUCGCCAUGAAGCCAAUUAACAAAAGUGUCAUCGACGUAACUCUUCCAUAGUUUUGGUUUUAGAUGGAAGGUCUCGAGAGCUUUCUUUAUAUACUAUAUUCGCGAUGACUGGUGAUAGUGGAGAACCCAUAGCUGUUCCCGAAGUUUGUUCAAACAAUAUAUAAGCAGGUACAGAGUAACAUGCGAGCCAGUUUCAGUUACGCCCUGAAGAAGCCAACAGGAUGAUUGGCGAAACGUCAGGUUUGACUCAACAAAAACCGACGCAUAAUGAAAAACCACAAAAUUUAGAUGAUUUAAAAUUUAUAAUUAGAUACGAAAUAAGGAAAACUAAUGAAUUAAUAAAAUUUGAAACAGAAUUCGAAUACAAAAAAUAUAAUGGAAGUGUGCGAGCAUUUUUCUCAAAAUCAAAUAUUCGAUUUGCAAACAAAUUUCUUCCAUAUUUUAGUCGUUCAAUGUAUAUAACAAAUUGAAGGUAAGGUACGAAUUAAGGAAAGACCCGGUCAAGCUGUAAGAAUGAAAUAUGGCCGAACAGGUCCGUACAUUGCUUGGAAUUUAAUAAUCUGGGGUUUGGUUAGGAAAGAUACUAAACAAUAUUUAUUUAUUUAUGUAUGUAUUUGUUUAAAUCAAAAAUAAAAUUACAAAUUAUUUUUAUUACCUACUUAAAUUAAUUAAAAUUAUUCACAUAAUAUAUUAGUAUCACUAUCGCUAUCAUCGCCUGUUCAAAUUAUUAUUUGUUCUAUAUUAUUUGCAAUAUGGAUAUACGAUUGUUCUUUUUCUAUAUGUCUAACAGAAUUUGCCCAACUUUGUGGAGGGAUGUUAAAAACUUUUCUAUAAGUUUGAGGACAUUGGGAGUUAACAAGGGGAAAAACAUUGUUACGACGAAUGGCAGAGCAGAUUUCAGUUGGUGGCAACAUGUUCAGUGGUCAAGUGGAAGCCUUAAGACUGUACGCCCUAGAGUUUUUGCAUAAUUUGCAUAUUUCUUUUGUAGGUUCAAGCUUUGUAGAACCCCAAUUAAUUGAUUUUUGGUAUAAUCUUCGUAAAAAUAAAUGACGUUAUUAUAUAUGUAGUUUUGGAUUGUUGCUUUUGUGUCACAUGAGGAAGGGGAACUUGCCUUUUGUCAAUUUUUUUAAAUCUAAAACCCAUGUGUUGAAUACACUUCCAUAAGGUAGUUCUGCCACAUUUAACACCGGUUUCAUCUUCUUCAAGCGUUCUAAUUAAGAUAUCUAAUGUAGGCACGCUUUGUUCGUCGUAUAACUGGUAAAUUUUAAGCCGUAUUAUAUCUUGAUCACUUUCACCUACACUCGAGAAAAUGUCAGCAUCGCUUCUUUUUUUCCUCGCUGAAAUGGGAUUAUUCACAAUUUUCCAUACAGUUGAUAUUGGAAUUUUCGUUAAUGUGGCCAUUUCUUCUAAAGAUGCUUGCUUGCCAGCACCACGUUCAAUGAGAGUCAAAUAAACAUUGUUUAUAACUUCCAUAGUCUCAGUCUUUUCUACAUUUGGGCGGGAACACCUCCUGAAAUACACUAGACUCGCACAUAGUUUGCAUAAUUCGUACACGAUUCAACACACGCUGUAUUACACACAAAAUUAGAAUGAGUACUAACAAACUUAAACUAAGUAGUAUACCAAACCAAAGAAUAUUAAACACAGGUAGGUAUAAAAUUAUUUUCUAUUACGGACCACAAUUUUACCUGAAUUUAAAUUCCGAAACUUUAGGUAAAAAUCUUCUUGCAUUGUAUGUUAAUGACCACCCUUGGAUAAUCCCAUUCAAAAGAAAUUGGUCACUUUCUUAUAUCUAUGAACAGACCAUACCUACUUAUAAGUACAUAGUUUCACAUGAUUAUCAAGGCCCGUUAAGGAAGAGCGUUUUUGUAAAACAAUCUAGCAGUUUUCGUUUAAGACAAACAAAAAAUCGAGGUAGCGCUCCAGGUUUUAACUUCAAGUAUCCAUUUUUUCAUUGCAGUUAGGUAUAUGUAGCUAUCCAUAUUUUGUUUUCCCUAAAAUGAUGCCAUUACUUAGUUCAUAAAAUACGAAAUUAAAUAUCCCAUUGAUAAAUAAAUCGGUUAAUGUUAAGGUAAUAAUUUUUACGUUAUGAAUUAAAUGAAAAUAGAAAAAAUAAAAAUAAAUUUUCUAACCAAAAGCAGUUUCAGUUAAGCUCUGAAGAAGUCAACAGAAUAAUUGUCAUGAUGUGUCAGCAAGUUCGAUUUAUCGACAACCGAUGCAGGAGGGAUCCGGAAGAUUUGUAAAUAGUAGAAAAAAAAGCUCCCCAAAUAAUAUAUAUUUUCUAAAUUAAGAUUAAGCAGAUAAAUAUGAUUAGUAAAGCACUCUGGAAAGCUUAACUUAAAUCAAAAUAGUCUUCACAACAGUGUUCUGUUUCUGGAGCAUUUUUCGAAGUAUAGGGGUAAUUAGGAAGCACACAAAACCUAUUUGACGAGGCCUUGAAAGUAUCACAAAAAAAAAUGAAAUUUUGUACAUCUAUAUAUAAAAUGUGUUCUAGUUUCCAUUUCCAAAAUUAAAAAAAGGACCAUUAUCACCGCGCAGCAUUACAUAAGCGCAUAAUCUUUACAUUUCCAUUGGUCAACACAAUGAUGACGGAACUGCGCAGUGCGUUCGAAUGAUUACGGGCAGUGGUUAAACCCACAUUAAAUUCGUACAAAUGGCAAAACUAACUUAAAUGAAAUAUGAUCAUAAGUCGGUUACGUUAGACUUUACGUAUCUACGAUGCGUAUAGGCUGUCUUAUUUUAACGUAAAUUAAUGGUCGUCAGUCAGUCGUAAGUAAAAAACAAAACACGAAAAUACUUCGCAACAAUCGCAAAUUUAAAUUUAAUUGUGCGAAAACAUUUGCAAUUACAUGGAACCUUUGAUGAGCGAUAAAAACUAAAAAGAUCUAUUUUUAAACGUCGCGGUAUCAAUUAAUGGUCGUCAGUUUGUUAAUUCGAUGAAUAAUUAAAAAGAACGCAAUCUCAAAAAUUGCAAAUGUUUUGAAACAGCGACAGCGAUAUGAAGAGACCGACUGCCGUUAAUAAAAUUCCAUUAAAUAUGCUUCUAUUUUAAUGGACAAAUAUACAGGGUUGUGGAAAAAUUGCCCACGAGAUGAAAUAACGACAGCGGGAAGGGUUGGUCAGGGUGCGGGGUUGCCAGAUCGUGCAACCAGGCGUUUAAUACACAAAAAUAUGCUUCAAAAUAUUACAUUUCAGGGCCGUCGGUUGCUACUUCUAGAAGGUUUCUUUAAAAUUUUAAAAAGAAAAGGGGUUCUGCUGUCAUGUGACUCUUACCAGUCAAUAGAACGAAGGGAUGAAGUUACAAUUAGCGUCUGCGUGCUCCUUCUAUGUAAUCCACUUGCAUUGUUAGGUAGUGACUGCCGUUGACAUUUUCAGUCUUUGUAACGUAAGAAGGGGUGAAAGAGCACACCUAAACAUUCUUAACAAUCUUCAAUUACAAAAAGCUAAGUAAAGGCAAUUAUUAUUAAUUAUGAUUCGUUUUACUUUAAGUAAGACUUAUUAAUUCAAAUUCGGAGCAAAUUCAAUUCCAAUAAAAACAUAUUUUAUAAGAAAACCUGUUACAUUAACAUAGCAUAUGCCUGAAAUUAAAAAAUAAGACUUUCUGUCUGAGGACAGAAACAGGACUCUCCUUAAGUGAUAAUGAAGGCCUCUUUGUUUUAAAUAUAUAACAUGUUUAAAUUAUUAUUUGAAUUUGAAUGGUUUCCUUUUCAAAACAAUAAUAAUUUUAAUAAGAAUGAGUAAUAAAAAUGAUCAAGCACAUGUUAGUUUCAAGAAGACAAUAUAGAAUCAUAUAAUACCAAUCGUUGGUGUUUUUUUUUAAUAUUGAAAUGUUUUUUCCUCUGAGUGUAAGUUCAAAUCUGCUAAAGACUGAUUCAGCGGACUUAUUAGUUAGUCUACUAACACUACAGAUACGGAUUCCCGAUCCCAAAGUGGCUGAGAGUUUAAUUGUUGGUAAGUUUUGUACCAUAACAAUACAUCGUGUACCAAAUAAAUGGAACAAAUGGGGUUUACAGCUCUUUAGCAUCAGGGCGGGGACCACAUUCACUUAUCAGAUUAUGCGAUCCAUUUUGAUGACACCUGUAUAAGAGAAUUUCAGAUGUGUUCAGGACGUACAUGGACACCUCAUUCUUGAAGUGGAAGAGUAGAUUUAGUAAGGUAAAACUGAAAUGUGUCCUCAAAAAGGAAAUUCCUCUGGAGGUUGGAUUGAAAAACCGCCCAACUUUGAAAGUUGAUACUGCUAACGCAUAGCACAGGACAUGUAUACAAAAAUCACUGGACUGGAACAACGACAAUGCUAAGUUUUUUUUUCUGAUUUCUGAAAACGAAAGAGAAUGCGAUGAACUAUAAAAGGAGGGGAUUUCCCGCACUAAUAAAACUCCGAAAAAAAUAGCCUAAUAAAUAUUUAUUAUUUGUUUGUAUGGAUUUAAAUAUUUUUAUUUAUUUGUUUAUUUAUUUAAACCAGAUAAAACUAAUACGAUUUAGUUAGUUCAUUAUAUCAAGCAAUCGCCUCUUUGAUUUAAGUACAUUUAUUAAAAGCGAAUAAAAUGAGUUUCGAUACGAAUUACUCAAUCACUAGCAGAGCAAGGACCCCUCCCCCCCAAGCCGACCCAACGUGGAACCUGUGCCAUUGUGCCUUUUAUUAGCGAUGUGGUGACUGCAGUAUCCCUAACUUUUUUAGUAAAAAUUUUGACGGAAAUGGAAAUAUUUUUAAUUAAAUAUGGUGUGGUUCAUUUGUGACCCACAGUUUAGGAUAAGUAAUAUAAUAAUAAUAAUAAUUUAAAACUGUGGGUAGGUAGUAGUAGAAUUAGUUAAAUAUAAUAUAAAUUAUGUAGUCUUGUAUGUGGAUCACUAAUGAGGUCUCAAUUUAAAAAGCGAGAUUUUAUAUAUAACAACACAUUGUAAUUGUAAAUUGUUAAUAACACUAUAUAGCUUGACAAAUAAAUAAACAUUCAAUUAAAUUAAUUUUCUCCAAAAGUACCUUCUUAAGCUGAGGAAAUUUUGAUGUCCUUGGAGGCAUAAGCUUAAACGAUCUUAACAUUAUUACCAAAUAAAUUGGUGAUAGAAUCAGCCCAAAACCCUGUCAGUGAGGUCUUAUUACAAAUAUUUAUUUCCAAAAUAAAAUUACAAUACCUUUUCCACACACCUGCGUGAAGUAUUAUUAUAAUUAAAUAUUUAAGUAAUGUCUACUGUAUACUAUUUCCAAAGUGUCUUCUUCUUCUUCAUGUACCGUCUCCACUUCGGAGGUUGGCUAUCAUCAUUGCUAUUUUGAUUUUGGAAGCUGCGGCUUUAAAUAGGUCAAAUGAUGUAAAUUAAACCAUUUUCGUAGGUUUCUAAGCCAGGAUAUUCUUCUUUU